AGGUGCAUGGCCGUCGUCAGUUCGUACUGUGAAGCAUCCUGUUAAGUCAGGCAACGAGCGAGACCCACGCCAACAGUUGCCAGCUCGUCCUCCGGGAUGGUGGGGACACUGUUGGGACCGCCUCUGCUAAAGAGGAGGAAGGAAUGGGCAACGGUAGGUCAGCAUGCCCCGAAUUAUCUGGGCUACACGCGGGCUACAAUGGGUGGGACAAUGGGUAUCGACACCGAAAGGUGAAGGCAAUACUCCUAAACCCAUCCGUAGUUCGGAUUGUGGGCUGCAACUCGCCCACAUGAAGCUGGAAUCUGUAGUAAUCGUGUCUCAAAAUGGCACGGUGAAUAUGUCCCUGCUCCUU
rnacentral:rRNA from 1 species